AAGAGCGAAGUUCUCCUUGCACAUGUCCUGUCUGAUGCCGUGUGCACGUCUGCAUGGUCUGUCCGCCUUCACCCUGGCCGGAAGGGCGGGCGGCAGCACUUCCACAGCUGCCACCACAGCUGCCCAGGCACGGGUGCUGGUUAAACAGACUUCCUGGGGAAGGAGGACAGGAACUGAGCUGGACAGGAACCUAAAGCAGUGGCCAGUCAGUCUCUUCCAGUGGGAAGAAUCUUGAACAACGUACAGAGCUGGGAGGCUGGCGUUAUGGCGACUGCUCUCAGGGUCUGUUCCCUUCCAAAAAGCAAUGUGGAGACAGGCCCAGAUUCACGAAGGAGGGGCGAUGUGUGAGCCAGGGGAGCUGUGCACACUGACGCAAGUGGAGGGAAGGAAGAAAAAGCACCUCCAGGUAGACUGCAGCCCAGGGCAAUGUCUGCCUCUGUGUCAUAAGAAAAUCGGAGCCAGAGCCGCCCACACAAGCCACGCUUGAGUGCCUGGCCCACAGGAACUGGGAGACCGAAUCUCACGGAGCUCACUUUCUUGAGGCUGCAGAGAGAGAUGGCUCAGCAGUUAGAGACGCGUACUGUACCUGUAGAGGACGUAAACGGACUUCCCGGAACCCCAGUGGGUGACCCACGGCUGGCAACUCAAGUUCCAGGAGUCUGACACCUCUGCUGCCCUCUGCGGGCACGCACCUCUUACAGGCACACCCAUGUAUUCAUAAAUACAAAUAAAAACUCUUUAAACAGCUCAGA